rnacentral:lncRNA from 1 species
AGAGUCAAGUGACAUGUGUCAGUGGGGCCUUAGGUCAAAAAUUGAGGUAUGACAAUAUUCAUCUAGGUUCAUCAAGAUCUUCAUAUGGGUUCAUCAUAUAUGAAUGUCAGAUGAAUUACUAGGUUUAUCAUAUGCGUUUCAUAUGAAUUUAUGAGCAUUAUCCAUAAGUAGUGGCUUUUCCACUAACAUCACAAUGUUGAUGGAUAAUACCUUCUCAUAUUUGCCUUGGAAACUGUGUAGG